GGUUAAGCGACUAAGCGUACACGGUGGAUGCCCUGGCAGUCAGAGGCGAUGAAGGACGUGCUAAUCUGCGAAAAGCGUCGGUAAGGUGAUAUGAACCGUUAUAGCCGGCGAUGUCCGAAUGGGGAAACCCAGUGCAAUUCGUUGCACUAUCGUUAACUGAAUACAUAGGUUAACGAGGCGAACCGGGGGAACUGAAACAUCUAAGUACCCCGAGGAAAAGAAAUCAACCGAGAUUCCCCCAGUAGCGGCGAGCGAACGGGGAGCAGCCCAGAGUCUGAAUCAGCUUGUGUGUUAGUGGAACGGUCUGGAAAGUCCGACGGUACAGGGUGAUAGUCCCGUACACCAAAAUGCACAGGCUGUGAACUCGAAGAGUAGGGCGGGACACGUGGUAUCCUGUCUGAAUAUGGGGGGACCAUCCUCCAAGGCUAAAUACUCCUGACUGACCGAUAGUGAACCAGUACCGUGAGGGAAAGGCGAAAAGAACCCCGGCGAGGGGAGUGAAAAAGAACCUGAAACCGUGUACGUACAAGCAGUGGGAGCACCUUCGGGUGUGACUGCGUACCUUUUGUAUAAUGGGUCAGCGACUUAUAUUCUGUAGCAAGGUUAACCGUAUAGGGGAGCCGCAGGGAAACCGAGUCUUAACUGGGCGUUAAGUUGCAGGGUAUAGACCCGAAACCCGGUGAUCUAGCCAUGGGCAGGUUGAAGGUUGGGUAACACUAACUGGAGGACCGAACCGACUAAUGUUGAAAAAUUAGCGGAUGACUUGUGGCUGGGGGUGAAAGGCCAAUCAAACCGGGAGAUAGCUGGUUCUCCCCGAAAGCUAUUUAGGUAGCGCCUCGUGAACUCAUCUUCGGGGGUAGAGCACUGUUUCGGCUAGGGGGUCAUCCCGACUUACCAACCCGAUGCAAACUACGAAUACCGAAGAAUGUUAUCACGGGAGACACACGGCGGGUGCUAACGUCCGUCGUGAAGAGGGAAACAACCCAGACCGCCAGCUAAGGUCCCAAAGUCAUGGUUAAGUGGGAAACGAUGUGGGAAGGCACAGACAGCCAGGAUGUUGGCUUAGAAGCAGCCAUCAUUUAAAGAAAGCGUAAUAGCUCACUGGUCGAGUCGGCCUGCGCGGAAGAUGUAACGGGGCUAAACCAUGCACCGAAGCUGCGGCAGCGACACGAUGUGUUGUUGGGUAGGGGAGCGUUCUGUAAGCCUGCGAAGGUGACCUGUGAGGGUUGCUGGAGGUAUCAGAAGUGCGAAUGCUGACAUAAGUAACGAUAAAGCGGGUGAAAAGCCCGCUCGCCGGAAGACCAAGGGUUCCUGUCCAACGUUAAUCGGGGCAGGGUGAGUCGACCCCUAAGGCGAGGCCGAAAGGCGUAGUCGAUGGGAAACAGGUUAAUAUUCCUGUACUUGGUGUUACUGCGAAGGGGGGACGGAGAAGGCUAUGUUAGCCGGGCGACGGUUGUCCCGGUUUAAGCAUGUAGGCUGGUUAUCCAGGCAAAUCCGGAUAAUCAAGGCUGAGGUGUGAUGACGAGGCACUACGGUGCUGAAGUAACAAAUGCCCUGCUUCCAGGAAAAGCCUCUAAGCAUCAGGUAACACGAAAUCGUACCCCAAACCGACACAGGUGGUCAGGUAGAGAAUACCAAGGCGCUUGAGAGAACUCGGGUGAAGGAACUAGGCAAAAUGGUGCCGUAACUUCGGGAGAAGGCACGCUGGUGUGUAGGUGAAGUCCCUGCGGAUGGAGCUGAGACCAGUCGAAGAUACCAGCUGGCUGCAACUGUUUAUUAAAAACACAGCACUGUGCAAACACGAAAGUGGACGUAUACGGUGUGACGCCUGCCCGGUGCCGGAAGGUUAAUUGAUGGGGUUAUCCGUAAGGAGAAGCUCUUGAUCGAAGCCCCGGUAAACGGCGGCCGUAACUAUAACGGUCCUAAGGUAGCGAAAUUCCUUGUCGGGUAAGUUCCGACCUGCACGAAUGGCGUAAUGAUGGCCAGGCUGUCUCCACCCGAGACUCAGUGAAAUUGAACUCGCUGUGAAGAUGCAGUGUACCCGCGGCAAGACGGAAAGACCCCGUGAACCUUUACUAUAGCUUGACACUGAACAUUGAGCCUUGAUGUGUAGGAUAGGUGGGAGGCUUUGAAGCGUGGACGCCAGUCUGCGUGGAGCCAACCUUGAAAUACCACCCUUUAAUGUUUGAUGUUCUAACGUUGGCCCCUUAUCGGGGUUGCGGACAGUGUCUGGUGGGUAGUUUGACUGGGGCGGUCUCCUCCCAAAGCGUAACGGAGGAGCACGAAGGUUAGCUAAUCCUGGUCGGACAUCAGGAGGUUAGUGCAAUGGCAUAAGCUAGCUUGACUGCGAGCGUGACGGCGCGAGCAGGUGCGAAAGCAGGUCAUAGUGAUCCGGUGGUUCUGAAUGGAAGGGCCAUCGCUCAACGGAUAAAAGGUACUCCGGGGAUAACAGGCUGAUACCGCCCAAGAGUUCAUAUCGACGGCGGUGUUUGGCACCUCGAUGUCGGCUCAUCACAUCCUGGGGCUGAAGUAGGUCCCAAGGGUAUGGCUGUUCGCCAUUUAAAGUGGUACGCGAGCUGGGUUUAGAACGUCGUGAGACAGUUCGGUCCCUAUCUGCCGUGGGCGCUGGAGAAUUGAGGGGGGCUGCUCCUAGUACGAGAGGACCGGAGUGGACGCAUCACUGGUGUUCGGGUUGUCAUGCCAAUGGCACUGCCCGGUAGCUAAAUGCGGAAGAGAUAAGUGCUGAAAGCAUCUAAGCACGAAACUUGCCCCGAGAUGAGUUCUCCCUGAGACUUUAAGUCUCCUGAAGGAACGUUGAAGACGACGACGUUGAUAGGCCGGGUGUGUAAGCGCAGCGAUGCGUUGAGCUAACCGGUACUAAUGAACCGUGAGGCUUAACCUU
rnacentral:rRNA from 1 species